GUUAUCGCCUGCUGUGCUUGCCAUUUUCUGACCAAAUUACUGAAAGCCAUCACGUACCCAUCAGCACGUUCACUUCUUUGGAUGCCCCAGCGUCGACUUCAACGGAAUACAGCUAAGGAUAUUCUCAGGUAAGCUGGGUUGAAUUUUUUUAUGAUUGAAAGAUUAUGCACAGACUGGUUGGAAGAAGAACGUAAGGCACGAAGAGAAGGUUUUGGACGCCGAAACGCAGCUAAAGCCUAGAGAAGACCAUCAUCUCAUCAGAAUGUCUCGGGCCAAGUGCUCUGCGUCACAAACAAUAUUGUGCAGAAUGGCGAACGGCUGCAAAUUCGCCAAUAUCAUCUAGCAAAACAUGUCGUUUACUGUGCUCUGGAUUGCAGAUGCAUCAGUUGCUUUCCAUUUUAUUUAUGACAACUCAGCAAUGAACAGUCAGACUGUAACUGGGGGAUCAAAGGUCCCGCAUGGCAGAUUGAGUGGCAUGAAAUCCUUUUCUCCGAUGUAUCACGAUUUUGUUUAAGCGAAAAAGAAAAUUGCAUAUGUAUGUCCAAUAUCAAUGGCUGAAGUACAUCAAGAAGACUGCAUUUGUACCUGGCAUACCGUAUCAUAUCGGAUUACUACUUGUAUGAGAUGUAAUUAAACUAAGAUCACCCUUCGUAAACGUUCAAGCCAUCAUAACGAAUUUCAGUACGCUAACUGCAUUCUGCAAUCAGUCGCACUUCCGUACUUGUAAAGCCUACCUCGGAUAACGUUUCAGCAAGAUAAUGCCAUUACUACUACUGCAGUAACAACGUAAGCCUUCUUCAGAUUUAACAAUGACCAGUCGCACUUUUGUACUUGAAAAGUUUCCUUGGGGUAAUUUUCUCGCAAGACAAUGCCAAUUCUACGAUUGCAGUAAAAACGCAAGCCUUUUUCAUAGUUAUCAAUAGCCCAGUUUUUCACUGAUUGCCUAGAUAUGUGCUUAAAAGGAAAAUGUGUGGAAUUUACUCAGAUGAAAUGUGAUGCAUUAGUGAAGUUUGGUUAUUCCACACGAUGCCAUUAAAAUUUUGUUUAAUUCACUGCCAAAUUAUAUAGAGCAAACAGUACAGGCCAGAUGUGAACAAGAAGAUACUAAGUUUGAUUACGAACAUAAUGCUUAUCGUUUUGGAAUAUUAAUCAUAAUGUGUUCAAAAAUAAAAAAAUUUAGCUA